rnacentral:rRNA from 1 species
UCGGGAAUUUUGGGCAAUGGGCGAAAGCCUGACCCAGCAACGCCGCGUGAAGGAUGAAGUAUCUCGGUAUGUAAACUUCGAAAGAAUAGGAAGAAUAAAUGACGGUACUAUUUAUAAGGUCCGGCUAACUACGUGCCAGCAGCCGCGGUAAUACGUAGGGACCAAGCGUUGUUCGGAUUUACUGGGCGUAAAGGGCGCGUAGGCGGCAUGACAAGUCACUUGUGAAAUCUCUGGGCUUAACCCAGAACGGCCAAGUGAUACUGUCGCGCUAGAGUGCAGAAGGGGCAAUCGGAAUUCUUGGUGUAGCGGUGAAAUGCGUAGAUAUCAAGAGGAACACCUGAGGUGAAGACGGGUUGCUGGGCUGACACUGACGCUGAGGCGCGAAAGCCAGGGGAGCAAACGGGAUUAGAUACCCAGGUAGUCCCUGAGCGGGCUGGCAAGGCGCAU